rnacentral:rRNA from 1 species
AAGUAAUGAAGGGCGUAUGGGGGAUGCCUAGGCUCUCAGAGGCGAAGAAGGACGUGGUAAGCUGCGAAAAGCUGCGGGGAUCCGCAAACAGGACGUGAUCCGCAGGUGUCCGAAUGAGGCAACUCUCCCGAUUGAAGAUCGGGAACCCACCGCAAGGUGAGGAGCAGACCCAGGGAACUGAAACAUCUAAGUACCUGGAGGAAGAGAAAAUAAACUAAUGAUUGCGCCAGUAGUGGCGAGCGAAAGCGCAAGAGCCCAAACCUUACCAGUUACGGCUGGUAGGGGGUAAUAGGACUACAUAAUUGAAACUGAAUCAGAUCUGAACAGCCUGGGAAGGCUGGCCAUAGCGGGUGAUAGCCCCGUAAGAGAAAGAGGAGGGGAGAGGUAGUAUCCUGAGUAGGGCGGGGUCGGAGACGCCCCGUUUGAAUUUGCCGGCACCAUCCGGUAAGGCUAAAUACAUCUGAGAGACCGAUAGUGAACCAGUACUGUGAAGGAAAGGUGAAAAGCACUCCGAACAGGAGGGUGAAAAGAGAACCUGAAACCAUACGCUUACAAGCGGUCAGAGCCCCGCAAUGGGGUGAUGGCGUGCCUUUUGCAUAAUGAGCCUACGAGUUACUUUUACUGGCGAGGUUAAGCAGCUUAAAGCUGCGCAGCCGGAGCGAAAGCGAGUCUGAAUAGGGCGUAUAGUCAGUAGUAGUAGACGCGAAACUUUGUGAUCUACCCUUGGUCAGGAUGAAGCCCCGUUAACACGGGGUGGAGGUCCGAACUAGUAAACGUUGAAAAGUUUUUGGAUGAACUGAGGGUAGGGGUGAAAGGCUAAUCAAACUGAGAAAUAGCUCGUACUCCCCGAAAUGCUUUUAGGAGCAGUGUGGAGGUUGAGUUUGUUAGAGGUAGAGCUACCAAUUGGACUAGGGGGAGUCACAUCCUACCAAAUCCAGAUGAACUCCGAAUGCUAACAAAUAUACUCUGCAAUGAGGGCGCGGGUGCUAAGGUCCGUGUCCGAGAGGGAAAGAACCCAGACCUGCAGCUAAGGUCCCUAAAUCUAUACUAAGUUGAACUAAGGCGGUCCAGUUGCCGAGACAGCCAGGAGGUUAGCUUGGAAGCAGCUAUUCCUUUAAAGAGUGCGUAACAGCUCACUGGUCGAGCGACAGGGCAUCGAUAAUAAUCGGGCAUCAAGUAUAGUACCGAAGCUCAGGAUUUAGUAGCAAUACUAAGUGGUAGGGGAGCAUUCUAACAUCGGCGAAGCCGAGGGAUAACCCGGAGGUGGAGAGGUUAGAAAAGCAAAUGUAGGCAUAAGUAACGAUAAGGCAGGUGAGAACCCUGCCCACCGAUAGACUAAGGUUUCCGCGGCAAUGUUAAUCAACCGCGGGUAAGUCAGGACCUAAGAUAAAGCCGAAAGGCGUAGUCGAUGGACAACUGGUUAAUAUUCCAGUACUACCGUAAUGAGCGAUGGAGAGAAGGAGUAGUGACAGCUUCGCGCCCCGACGGAUGUGGGCGUUGAAAGGCGUAGGUAUAUUUUGUGUAGGUAAAUCCGCACGAGAUGCUGAAACCCAAUAGUACUUGGAGGCUUCGGCCGAAGAGAUAGAAAGCGUAAUCAGACUUCCGAGAAAAUCUUCUAAGCAUAUGAUUAUGGUACCUGUACCGCAAACCGACACAGGUAGUCAAGGAGAGAAUCCUAAGGUGCUCGAGUGAUCCAUGGCUAAGGAACUCGGCAAAAUAACCCUGUAACUUCGGGAGAAGGGGAGCCACUAGCAAUAGUGGUCGCAGAGAAAUGGCCCAGGCGACUGUUUAACAAAAACACAUGGCUUUGCGAAAUCGAAAGAUGAAGUAUAAGGCCUGACACCUGCCCGGUGCUGGAAGGUUAAGGGGGGGAGUUAGCGGGUAACUGCGAAGCUCUGAACUGAAGCCCCAGUAAACGGCGGCCGUAACUAUAACGGUCCUAAGGUAGCGAAAUUCCUUGUCGGGUAAGUUCCGACCUGCACGAAUGGUGUAACGAUCUGGGCGCUGUCUCAGCCAUGAGCUCGGUGAAAUUGUAGUCACGGUGAAGAUGCCGUGUACCCGUCACGGGACGGAAAGACCCCAUGCACCUUUACUAUAGCUUCACAUUGGCAUUGGGAGGAUGAUGUGUAGGAUAGGUGGGAGGCAAUGAUCCUGCGGCGCUAGUCGUAGGGGAGUCAACGGUGAAAUACCACCCUUUAUUUUCUUGAUGCCUAAUCUCACUUGCGUGAGAGACAUUGUGUGGUGGGUAGUUUGACUGGGGUGGUCGCCUCCGAAAGUGUAUCGGAGGCUUUCAAAGGUAUGCUCAGUACGCUUGGUAACCGUACGUGGAGUGCAAUAGCACAAGCAUGCUUGACAGUGAGACCGACGGGUCGAGCUGGUGCGAAAGCAGGAUAUAGUGAUCCGGUGGUUCUGUAUGGAAGGGCCAUCGCUCAAAGGAUAAAAGGUACGCUGGGGAUAACAGGCUGAUCUCCCCCAAGAGCUCAUAUCGACGGGGAGGUUUGGCACCUCGAUGUCGGCUCGUCACAUCCUGGGGCUGGAGAAGGUCCCAAGGGUUGGGCUGUUCGCCCAUUAAAGUGGCACGCGAGCUGGGUUCAGAACGUCGUGAGACAGUUCGGUCCCUAUCUGUGAUGGGCGUAGGAAGCUUGAGGGGUCCUGAUCUUAGUACGAGAGGACCGGAUUGGACCAACCGCUGGUGUACCGGUUGUAGCGCCAGCUGCACAGCCGGGUAGCUAUGUUGGGAGUGGAUAAGCGCUGAAAGCAUCUAAGCGCGAACCCCACCCCGAGAUGAGGCUUCCAUUGAGAGCCGUCAGAGACUAUGACGUAGAUAGGCCACAGGUGUAAAGACAGUAAUGUCAAAGCUGAGUGGUACUAAUGGCUCGAACGCUUC